rnacentral:lncRNA from 1 species
UUUUGCCUUUUCUUUCCUGUCAUCCACAGGUGGAAAGUGGUGGUGCGAGAGUGGCGCAUGUUUCAGUCAGAAAUUUUUGUUUUGAAUAUCUGAUAGUAAACAGUUGGCACUGGAUGAAAAAUAUAUAAGUUUCAUUUGAAUUAAUAAAGUAUUGAAUGGAAAAAUGUAUUAAAUUAUUAACCGUUCCAACAGAAGUAAAGUGUUAAAGAUUGAAUUAAAGCCAAUUUUCAAAUUUAUUUUAAAUAAAUUAAGAAUACAAAAUUUAUCAACGUCAACUUUUGGAAAAACUUGCUGGAAUCCAUGAAUAUUACCACCAUAAAACGACAAAUAACGCGAACUUCAUCAACUUAUUAUAAACCGGUGCACGACAAAAAGAUCGAAUAAUCGUACUAUUUUGAUUACAUUUAUUCAGAGGAAAGGACACCAAUAACAAACAAUUAUAUGUGCACAUAUAUGUACCCAAACAUCAUCAGGUGCAACAUUUAAAACAUUUUUUACAACAAUAACAUGUCUGAUCUUGGCAGUGGCGACGAAGGCAUUUCUGGUUCAAAUCAUCCACAAAGUGGAAAUCGUGGGUACCACUUUUAAAGAUGGCGUCUUCCAGUCACCCAUAGCUCCACCAGAUAUCAAGAAAAGUUGAGAAAAAAAUUUUUUUUCUGAGCUAUAUUACAUGUAGAAUAACAUAUGAAAAACCUGAACUCUCAAAUAAAAAUUUGUGUGAAAAAAUUAUUGAAA